UUUUUUUUUUUUUUUUUUGUCUUUUGUCUUUUUGUUGUUGUUGUUGUUAUUGUUGCUAUUUCUUGGGCCGCUCCCGCGGCAUAUGGAGGUUCCCAGGCUAGGGGUUGAAUCGGAGCUGUAGCCACCGGCCUACGCCAGAGCCACAGCAACGCAGGAUCCGAGCCGCGACUGCAACCUACACCACAGCUCACGGCAACACCGGAUUGUUAACCCACUGAGCAAGGGCAGGGACUGAACCUGCAACCUCAUGGUUCCUAGUCAGAUUCGUUAACCGCUGUGCCACGACGGGAACUCCCCAGAGAAAUAUUCUUGAAGGACACGUACCAGCAGGUGCACAGUCAGAGAGGACUGUCCCAAGCUUGGAAUGUUUCUCCAAGUGUGAUUCUUGGGCCACCAAUACCGAAAUGAACUUAAGGGCUUGAUUAAAAAAAAAGGAGAUAUCUGAACCCUAACUUUAGGGAUGUUUUUUCCCAAGGGAUUUCUAUCUUCUCUCUUACUAUAGGAACAUUACUUUAAAGCCCUUUGGAAGAAGCCAGUGAAAAAAGAACCCCAGAUAGCUGAGAGCCAGCAGUGGCCUGAAAUAGGCAAUUAGACCAGUUGUAGCCUUUCUGGCCUUCAGAUCAUUCUCCUCUGAAGAGCAGCUCCGCCUGCUGGGAAGCAGGGACCUCCUUUCAGGUUGCGGUGACCCUCAAAAAAAGGUUAAGUGAGCUUUACCUUCAAAGCCAACUGGCUGAUCCUAAUAGGGUUUUCCAGCCCCCCACAGCUCAUCUGUAUGCACUCUGAAGUUUUUUGAGUAAAUUGGAAUUCUUUAACUGCUUCAGAUCACCAGGAGACAGGGACUCACUUAAAAUAAAUAUGCAUUCUUUUAGGCAACCAAUUGUUGUGAAAUCUUUUUAGUCAACGUAUGCAUUAGGUAGUGUGAGAUAAAGAGAAAUGGACUUACAUUUUGACAGAGGAGGGACAAUAAAGUGGCCUGGAAGGCAAUAGCUAAAUGACUUAUAUGAUGCAAUGCGAAGAAGGCGGGGAUGAGAAUGAAAUAUAUAUUCAACUCUGGAAUCUUACGAUGUGGAAAAGAUGUUGAUUCUUUUGGACCCUGUUUCCCAACUGGUAAAAUGGGGAUGCCAUCCCCAGCAAUAGGGUUGCUGCGAGGAUUCAAUGUGACUGUAUUGUCCUGGCGCUCUCUGGAUGCUCAAUGAAAAAUGUUUCGUUUUUCUUUCCUGGAUUUGAGGAACGUUUUAUCCUCAAGCGGAGACAAAUGGUUCAGAAAGCAGAGAAGAAUAUGAUGUAAUCACACUUACAGUCUUCACAUGUGGCUCAAGGUAUGCCCUGCAACAGCGACGUGGGUAAGGGCAGGUGGGAGGGAAUGCCGGGCACUUUAAACAGAACUCCCACACAUUAGCAUCAUGACUGGGUUCUUGUGUGCCACCCACAAGGAAAUAUGGGAGAGUCAAUUUUGGGACAGAGGUUCUGCCUCAGGCACUUUCAAAGGCCAGUCUCACCAAUUCUUAUUAUUUAUUGUUUUACUGCUGUUCCACUUACUUUCUGAUUCCUUGACUUUCAUGCUCCUCUUCUAGGAUAUCAGCUAAAUGACUUUCUUGUACCCAGAUCCACAGAGCUCCUUGUCACUUCCCUCAGUUUUAUUAACUAUUCUGUCCAUCUUCCUCCGUCCACCUUCCCCUCCACAGGUAGGGGAAGUAUACUGAUAGCAAAUGGAAUACUCUGCAAAUCAAAUGGUUUACAAUUCAAUCAACAAAAGGAAUCUUGGCAAUGCAUGAGGUGGUUGGUUUUCCUUAGAUUUUAAAAGCCUGAAAUAUCUUUCUCACAUGCUUAAUGAUUUAUUUUUAAGUCUGAUUUUAUGGAAAGAAAGUUUGGUGUCUUUGUAAACUGAUUGAGAUGCCAGCUUUUCCCUUUGUCCUCAGCCAAAUGAGUUGAAAAAAAAAAUGUUUUAACCACUGAAAGUCAUUAAAUCAAAUACAAGUUUAAAGAGGGGGUUUAGUUGUUUGUGAGUAUAAUUCAUGAAAAUAUCCAAAAUAUAUAUAUGGGUGGCUUCUUGUGUUGUUCUUAUAUGCAGUUAGGCCAUAAUUUAAAAAUUUUUUUAAUAGUCAGCUACUAGACAAUUUAGCUAUAAGGGGAAAAAACAAAGUUUUAUGACAGUUCUGUAGCAGGAAACACUGAUCUACUUCUGGAACUUACACAAGUCUUCUCAAGGAUGUUUUGAUUGGAAAUAUGUGUUAACUCAUAUACAUAUUUUGGGAGCUUCCUAUAGAGAAAAAGGGACACAUACAUGGUCCUGACUUGGGAAAGGACAUGGCACAUGACAAAUGAUCAGAAGGAAGUUGGACAGAAGAGUAAUAACUGAUUUUUGACACUGGAAAAAAUAGGCAAGAACAACCACCAUAGGCAAACUUGCAAGUCACAUCAUCGAUAUUGUUUUUCCUCUUAAGAGCAAAGAAAGUUACUGAAAGGUUUUAAGCAGGAAAUGGACAUUAUCAGCGAUGUAUUUAAAAAAUACUGCUUAAGCUACUAUGAUUAGAAAGGCAGGGAGUUUGCAUUGCAACUCAGUGGAUAUGAACCUGACUAGCAUCCAUGAGGAUCUGGGUUCUGUCCCUGGCCUUGCUCAGUGAGUUAAGAAUUCUGUGGUGCUAUGAACUAUUGUGUAUGUCACAGACCUGGCUCUGAUUCCCCACUGCUAUGUCUGUGGAAUAGGCUGGCAUUGUAGCUCUGAUUCAUUCCCUAGCCCAGGAACUUCCAUAUGCUAUAGGUGCAGCCCUAAAAGAAAAAAAAAAGUCAAAAGUAGAUAGAGGGAGACCAGGGAUGGAGCCUUUGCAGGGUCCAUGACCAAGAAGCUGGCAUCAAGGGUGGAGGUAAAGAUUGUCCUAAGGGCAGUUAUAGGAGGGCUGGUAAGAGUCAUGCCUUGGAUGCAGAAAAACAAGUGAUUCUUAGAAGCAUUUACAUGGGAAUGUAAUUUGGUGCAACCACUGUGGAAAACAGUAUGGAGAUUCCUCAGAAAACUAAAAAUAGAAUUACCAUUUGAUCCAGCAAUCCCACUCCUGGGCAUCUAUCCAGAGAAAACCAUGACUCGAAAAGAUACUCCAGUGUUCACUGCAGCUCUAUAUACAAUAGCCAAGACAAGGAAACAAUCUAAAUUCCCAUCAACAGAGGAGGGGAUAAAGAAGAUGCGGUACAUAUACACAAUGGAAUAUCACUCAGCUGUUGAAAGAAAUAAUGGGAUGUGUAGCAACAUGGAUGGGCCUAGAAAUUAUCAUGCUAAGUGAAGUCAGACAGCAAGACAAUAAUAUCACAUGCUGUCACUUACAUGUAGAAUAUAAAAAAUGGAGACAAUGAACUUCAUUAAGAACAGAUACUGACUCAGAGACUUUGAAACACUUAUGGUUUCCAAAUGAGACAGGUUGGGGGGCGGGAAGAUGUGCUGGAUAUGGGAUGGAAAUGCUAUAAAAUUGGGUUGUGAUGAUCAUCGUAUGACUAUAAAUGUAAUAAAAUUCACUGAGUAAUAAAAAAGAAGCAUUUAUAAUAUAAUAUGAUUUGAAUACUGAUUACAUGGGAGGAGUGUGAGAGAGAUUUCAAAAAUAACACUCAAAUUUUGCCUUCUAGCUUCUCAUUUUAUGGAUGGUAGAUAAGGUUUUGAUUCUGAUAUACACACCUGAGGAUGUAUAGAAAAAUGCUGAUAGGUAGGUAGGUUUUACAUUUGGGGUAGGAUUACUCCAGAAUACUCAUAGAAAGGAACAUAGUAUAAGCCUGUUUAGGCAGACUUUGGGCGCACUAGGAUCAGGAAUCUUCCCUACCCGUCAUGGGGAGCUGACAUUCCUUUCAACAAGUCCCCAAAGAUAUAAGGAUGAUAGUAUUAUCAAAUCUCACGUUGCUGCCCACAGUGGUUCUUAUCAAACACAUAUGCAUAUGACCAGCUGUGUCUUCUACCCAUUCACCUCAACUUCAAUCAAAGUCAAACCAAUGGUUUCGUCCAUUAACAAUAUAAGGCAGUCUAAGUAAACACUAGCAUGGGGAUUUUAAGAUACAUAUUGAUGUACAAAUCCUUGUUUGGAUAUUAGGCCCUUGGAAAAUUUAUAUGCUUCUUUGUAUGGUACUUUCCUUUAAGGAUUAAAAGAUAUUAUAAUAAAACUUUUUCACAGAGUUGUGAGAAGUAAAUGAGUUAAUACCUGCAAAGUGCUUAGGAAAACAUCUUAAAUUAGAACUGCUGGUUUCUACUUAUCUAUUCAGUGAUUUGGUGAUUGAAUUAAGAGGCCUGUACAUGUCACUAGAUCUUGGAAAACUCAGAAUCAAAGAUUUUCUUAGAAUAUAUUUCAGCUAAACUGGCAGGGCAGGAGGCGGAUACAAUUUCAGCAUGAAAACCAUGAUUUCCAUUUUUGGCAUGUUUAUUUUUAGCUGACUAUGAGUUAUUGAAGGGAAUAUUUUGAGACAGCUGUGAGAUAUAUUAUUUGGCUUUUGGAAGAAGUCUGGGAUAGAGAUAGAAAAUAAUGCUUAUCAGCAUAUAGAGGGGAAUGGAAACUACUGAUGCAGAUGAAAUCACUAUGGAAAGAGUAUGUAAAAUGUUGCACUGAAUUUCUUAGGAAAUAACCUUUGUGAUGGUAAUUAGCAUGUAGACAGUUUAUUAGACAGUGUUCUUAGAACCAAAAAAUAGGAAAAAUUAAGAGUUAAGACUGGGGAGAGGGAGAAGUUGCACUAUAAUGGAAUAUAAAAAACCUCCUUAAUAGUACAGACAAGCUGAAAUGAGAAGAGAAUUUCAGAUUUGUCCAAGGGUAAGGGCAAGUUUCAGGCCUUUAUAACCCUAUGUUGACUAGAAAUUGAAUGAGGGCUCUUCCCACAGACAUGGACUGUCUGCCAGCUCUUCCCAGAGAAUGGGCCCUACCCUGUUGGACUUGAGCAGCAAGUGAGAGCAUCUACCACAAGUGAAAGAAAUAAUGAGAAGCAAAUGACAGCAUUUACCACAAGUGAAAAAAAAGGUUAAGACCAACCAUUGAAGACCCCCAACUUUUAAAGUUCCAGGAUGUGAGAAUAAGCCAGGAAAACAGAAUUAGAAGGGGAGGGGAGGCCAGAUAAUUAGACAGAUAAAUGAUACUUUGGGUAGGAGACGCAAUGAAGAAUGGAAUCUUAUUCAGUGUCAAAUGUUGCUGGGUUUGGAAUUUAAAAACCUAUUGUAAAGAAUAAACUAAACCCAAAGUAAGAAGAUAGGAGAAACUAUUAAAAGUUAGAGUGGAGAUAAAAUAAAGAAAAUGCAGAAGAGAAAAUAUAUCCUAUCAAAUUUAUGUAUUUGAAGAAAUAAUCAAUGGAAUUGACAAACUUUAAGCAAUACUGACUAAUAAAAAACAGAGAAGAUUGAAAUAAGUUAAAUCAAGAUGGAAAAGGAGCCAUUAUUACUGAUGUUACAGAAAUAAAAAGACAUGAAAGCAUACUGUGAACAACUGAGAAAUUAACUAAUGUAGAUGAAAUAAGCAAAUUUCUAGAAAGACAAAAAAUACCAUAGAUGACUCAAGAAUCAUAAAAUGUCUAAGUGGGCCAAUAAUAAAUUAAAAUGCUGAAUUAGUAAUUUAAAAUUUUUCCUUCAGAGAAGAGUUCAGGACCUGAUAGUUAACCAGUGAAUUCUACCAAAUGUUUAAAGCGGAAUUAAUAUCAAUCCUCCCCAAACUCCUUUAAAGCAUGGAAGAGAAGGGAAGGCAUCCUCACUCACUCUAUGAGGCCAUAAUCUGACACUAAAGCCAGAAAAAAUACACUAUGAGAAAAGAAAACUAUAGGCAAACAUUCCUUAUUAAUAUAGGAUACAAGCGCCCUCACCAAAAUACUAACAAACCAAAAUCCAUUAGCAUAUAAGGAUAUUUUUAUACCGUGAUCAAGUGGGAUUUAUCUGAGGAGCACAAAGUUGAUUUAACAACCUAAAAUCUAUGAAUGUUACAAUAUUAAUAUAAAAAAUGACAGAAACUUCAUGAUUAUUUCAAUAUAUGCAAAAAGAGCACUUGAAAAAGUCCAUGAUAAAAACAACUUAACUAAUUAGGAAUAAAAGGGGUCUUUUUACCCUAAACUUUCUUAACCUGAUGAAGAAGAUUUAUGAAAAUUAAUUUCUCUGGAGUAUGUUGGUGUGUUGGGGAGGGGAAUAACUUGUGUAUUAAAUUAAGAAUAUGCAGAUUAUAACCUGUAGAAUCAGGAGGCAUAAGACACCCACCCACACAGGGUUGGCAGAGAGCUACCUCAGCAUCUGAGCUCCCAC
rnacentral:lncRNA from 1 species